AGUGAACGCUGGCGGUAGGCCUAACACAUGCAAGUCGAACGGCAGCACAGGAGAGCUUGCUCUCUGGGUGGCGAGUGGCGGACGGGUGAGGAACACAUCGGAAUCUACCUUUUCGUGGGGGAUAACGUAGGGAAACUUACGCUAAUACCGCAUACGACCUACGGUUGAAAGUGGGGGACCGCAAGGCCUCACGCGAUUAGAUGAGCCGAUGUCCGAUUAGCUAGUUGGCGGGGUAAUGGCCCACCAAGGCGACGAUUGGCCGCUGGUCUGAGAGGAUGAUCAGCCCGACGCGGACCGAGAAACCGUCCAGACUGCUACGGGCGGCAGCAGGGGGGAAUAUUGGAGAGUGGGCGGAAGACGGAGCCAGCCAUACCGCGUGGGUGAAGAAGGCCUUCGGGUUGUAAAGCCCUUUUGUUGGGCAAGAAAUCUUGCCGGUUAAUACCUGGCGAGGAUGACGGUACCCAAAAAAUAAGCGCCGGCUAGCAUCGGGCCAGCCGCCGCAUUAAAGC
rnacentral:rRNA from 1 species